ACCAGAGUGGCGUAGGGGCUGGAGCCUCAGCCUAGGACUCUGGGGGCCAGGGUUCAAAUCCCGGCUCAGGCU